AUUGAACGCUGGCGGCAGGCCUAACACAUGCAAGUCGAACGAGUGGCGGAAGGGUGAGUAAUGUCUGGGAAACUGCCUGAUGGAGGGGGAUAACUACUGGAAACGGUAGCUAAUACCGCAUACCAUCAGAUGUUCCCAGAUGGGAUUAGCUUGUUGGUGGGGUAACGGCUCACCAAGGCGACGAUCCCUAGCUGUCCUGAGAGGAUGACCAGACACACAGGAACUGAGACCCGGCCCAGACGCCUACGCGAGGCAGCAGUGGGGAAUAUUGCAAACUGGGCGCAAGCCUGAUGCAGCCAUGCCGAGUGUAUGAAGAAGGCUUUCGGGUUGUAAAGUACUUUCAGCAGGGAGGCGUUACCCGCAGAAGAAGCACCGGCUAACUCCGUGCCAGCCGCCGCGGUAAUAC
rnacentral:rRNA from 1 species